GACGAACGCUGGCGGCGUGCCUAAUACAUGCAAGUAGAACGCUGAAGGGGGAGCUUGCUUCUCCGGAUGAGUUGCGAACGGGUGAGUAACGCGUAGGUAACCUGCCUGGUAGCGGGGGAUAACUAUUGGAAACGAUAGCUAAUACCGCAUAAUAGUAGAUGUUGCAUGACAUUUGCUUAAAAGGUGCAAUUGCACCACUACCAGAUGGACCUGCGUUGUAUUAGCUAGUUGGUGGGGUAACGGCUCACCAAGGCGACGAUACAUAGCCGACCUGAGAGGGUGAUAGGCCACACUGGGACUGAGACACGGCCCAGACUCCUACGGGAGGCAGCAGUAGGGAAUCUUCGGCAAUGGACGGAAGUCUGACCGAGCAACGCCGCGUGAGUGAAGAAGGGUUUCGGAUCGUAAAGCUCUGUUGUAAGAGAAGAACGAGUGUGAGAGUGGAAAGUUCACACUGUGACGGUAUCUUACCAGAAAGGGACGGCUAACUACGUG
rnacentral:rRNA from 1 species